rnacentral:rRNA from 1 species
GAUGAACGCUAGCGGCAGGCCUAACACAUGCAAGUCGAGGGGUAGAGUUAGCUUGCUAACUUGAGACCGGCGCACGGGUGCGUAACGCGUAUGCAAUCUGCCUUGUACUGAGGGAUAGCCCAGAGAAAUUUGGAUUAAUACCUCAUAGUAUUAUUGAAUGGCAUCAUUUGAUAAUUAAAGUUCCAACGGUACAAGAUGAGCAUGCGUCCCAUUAGUUAGUUGGUAAGGUAGCGGCUUACCAAGACGAUGAUGGGUAGGGGUCCUGAGAGGGAGAUCCCCCACACUGGUACUGAGACACGGACCAGACUCCUACGGGAGGCAGCAGUGAGGAAUAUUGGUCAAUGGGCGCAAGCCUGAACCAGCCAUGCCGCGUGCAGGAUGAAGCAUCUAUGGUGUGUAAACUGCUUUUAUACGGGAAGAAACACUCCUACGUGUAGGAACUUGACGGUACCGUAAGAAUAAGGAUCGGCUAACUUCGUGCCAGCAGCCGCCGUAAUAC